rnacentral:rRNA from 1 species
GACGAACGCUGGCGGCGUGCUUAACACAUGCAAGUCGAGCGGUAAGGCUCCUUCGGGAGUACACGAGCGGCGAACGGGUGAGUAACACGUGAGCAAUCUGCCCUUCACUUCGGGAUAACUCCGGGAAACCGGUGCUAAUACCGAAUACGACCACUUCAGGCAUCUGAUGGUGGUGGAAAGUUCCGGCGGUGAAGGAUGAGCUCGCGGCCUAUCAGCUUGUUGGUGGGGUAACGGCCCACCAAGGCAACGACGGGUAGCCGGCCUGAGAGGGUGACCGGCCACACUGGGACUGAGACACGGCCCAGACUCCUACGGGAGGCAGCAGUGGGGAAUAUUGGACAAUGGGCGAAAGCCUGAUCCAGCAACGCCGCGUGAGGGAUGACUGCCUUCGGGUUGUAAACCUCUUUCAGCAGGGACGAAGCGCAAGUGACGGUACCUGCAGAAGAAGCACCGGCCAACUACGUGCCAGCAGCCGCGGUAAUACGUAGGGUGCGAGCGUUGUCCGGAAUUAUUGGGCGUAAAGGGCUCGUAGGCGGUCUGUCGCGUCGGGAGUGAAAACUCAGGGCUUAACCCUGAGCCUGCUUCCGAUACGGGCAGACUAGAGGUAUGCAGGGGAGAACGGAAUUCCUGGUGUAGCGGUGGAAUGCGCAGAUAUCAGAGGAACACCGGUGGCGAAGNNGGUUCUCUGGGCAUUACCUGACGCUGAGAGCGAAAGUGUGGGGAGCGACAGGAUAGAUACCCUGGUAGUCCANACCGUAAACGUGGGCNCUAGGUGUGGGACUCAUNNNGGAGUUCNUGCCGCCAGCUACGCAUANCNCCCCCGCCUGGGGGAGUACGCNNAGCUAA